AAUAGAUACCCGGGUAGUCCACGCCGUAAACGAUGAGUGCUAAGUGUUAGGGGGUUUCCGCCCCUUAGUGCUGCAGCUAACGCAUUAAGCACUCCGCCUGGGGAGUACGGUCGCAAGACUGAAACUCAAAGGAAUUGACGGGGGCCCGCACAAGCGGUGGAGCAUGUGGUUUAAUUCGAAGCAACGCGAAGAACCUUACCAGGUCUUGACAUCCCACUGACCGCUAUGGAGACAUAGUUUUCCCUUCGGGGACAGUGGUGACAGGUGGUGCAUGGUUGUCGUCAGCUCGUGUCGUGAGAUGUUGGGUUAAGUCCCGCAACGAGCGCAACCCUUGAUCUUAGUUGCCAUCAUUUAGUUGGGCACUCUAAGGUGACUGCCGGUGACAAACCGGAGGAAGGUGGGGAUGACGUCAAAUCAUCAUGCCCCUUAUGACCUGGGCUACACACGUGCUACAAUGGACGGUACAAACGGUUGCCAACCCGCGAGGGGGAGCUAAUCCGAUAAAACCGUUCUCAGUUCGGAUUGUAGGCUGCAACUCGCCUAC
rnacentral:rRNA from 1 species